GUGGGGAAUUUUGGACAAUGGGCGCAAGCCUGAUCCAGCGACGCCGCGUGGAGGACGAAGGCCUUCGGGUUGUAAACUCCUUUUGGAGGGGAAGAAUAAAUUGACGGUACCCUCAGAAAAAGCCACGGCUAACUACGUGCCAGCAGCCGCGGUAAUACGUAGGUGGCGAGCGUUACUCGGAAUUACUAGGCGUAAAGCGUAUGUAGGUGGUUAGAUAAGUCUAUGGUGAAAUUUCCUGGCUUAACUGGGAAGGGACAUAGAUACUAUCUGGCUUGAGUGUGGGAGGGGGAGACGGAAUUCCUGGUGUAGCGGUGAAAUGCGUAGAUAUCAGGAGGAACACCGAUGGCGAAAGCAGUCUCCUGGCCCAAUACUGACACUGAGGUACGAAAGCUAGGGGAGCGAACGGGAUUAGAUACCCCGGUAGUCC
rnacentral:rRNA from 1 species